rnacentral:rRNA from 1 species
UCGUUGUCGUCAGCUCGUGCCGUGAGGUGUCGGGUUAAGUCCCAUAACGAGCGCAACCCCCUACUGCUAGUUGCCAGCGCGUAAAGGCGGGGACCCUAGCGGAACUGCCGGCGUAAGCCGUGAGGAAGGUGGGGAUGACGUCAAAUCAGCACGGCCCUUACGUCCAGGGCUACACACGUGUUACAAUGGCCGGUACAGAGGGCAGCCACCCGCGAGGGGCGCGAAUCCUUAAAGCCGGUCCCAGUUCGGAUCGGGGUCUGCAACCCGACCCCGUGAAGCUGGAUUCGCUAGUAAUCGCGCAUCAGCCACGGCGCGGUGAAUACGUUCCCGGGCCUU